rnacentral:rRNA from 1 species
GACGAACGCUGGCGGCGUGCUUAACACAUGCAAGUCGAGCGAGGCCCAUCCUUCGGGGGUGGUGCCCUAGCGGCGAACGGGUGAGUAACACGUGGGGCAACCUGCCCCUAGCUCUGGGAUAACCCCGGGAAACCCGGGGCGUAAUACUGGAUAUGACUUCGGAAGGCAUCUUCUGGGGUGGAAAGAUUUAUUGGCUAGGGUGGGCCCGCGGCCUAUCAGCUUGUUGGUGGGGUGAUGGCCUACCAAGGCGGCGACGGGUAGCCGGCCUGAGAGGGCGACCGGCCACACUGGGACUGAGACACGGCCCAGACUCCUACGGGAGGCAGCAGUGGGGAAUAUUGCACAAUGGGCGAAAGCCUGAUGCAGCGACGCCGCGUGAGGGAUGACGGCCUCGGUUGUAA